rnacentral:rRNA from 1 species
GACGAACGCUGGCGGCGUGCCUAAUACAUGCAAGUAGAACGCUGAAGAGAGGAGCUUGCUCUUCUUGGAUGAGUUGCGAACGGGUGAGUAACGCGUAGGUAACCUGCCUGGUAGCGGGGGAUAACUAUUGGAAACGAUAGCUAAUACCGCAUAAAAUGGAUUAUCGCAUGAUAAUCCAUUGAAAGGUGCAAAUGCAUCACUACCAGAUGGACCUGCGUUUUAUUAGCUAGUUGGUGGGGUAACGGCUCACCAAGGCGACGAUACAUAGCCGACCUGAGAGGGUGAUCGGCCACACUGGGACUGAGACACGGCCCAGACUCCUACGGGAGGCAGCAGUAGGGAAUCUUCGGCAAUGGACGGAAGUCUGACCGAGCAACGCCGCGUGAGUGAAGAAGGUUUUCGGAUCGUAAAGCUCUGUUGUAAGAGAAGAACGAGUGUGAGAGUGGAAAGUUCACACUGUGACGGUAUCUUACCAGAAAGGGACGGCUAACUACGUG